AGUGAACGCUGGCGGUAGGCCUAACACAUGCAAGUCGAACGGCAGCACAGUAAGAGCUUGCUCUUACGGGUGGCGAGUGGCGGACGGGUGAGGAAUACAUCGGAAUCUACUUUUUCGUGGGGGAUAACGUAGGGAAACUUACGCUAAUACCGCAUACGACCUACGGUUGAAAGCAGGGGAUCUUCGGACCUUGCGCGAUUGAAUGAGCCGAUGUCGGAUUAGCUAGUUGGCGGGGUAAAGGCCCACCAAGGCGACGAUCCGUAGCUGGUCUGAGAGGAUGAUCAGACACACUGGAACUGAGACACGGUCCAGACUCCUACGGGAGGCAGCAGUGGGGAAUAUUGGACAAUGGGCGCAAGCCUGAUCCAGCCAUACCGCGUGGGUGAAGAAGGCCUUCGGGUUGUAAAGCCCUUUUGUUGGGAAAGAAAAGCAGCAGGUUAAUACCCCGCUGUUCUGACGGUACCCAAAGAAUAAGCACCGGCUAACUUCGUG
rnacentral:rRNA from 1 species